rnacentral:tRNA from 1 species
AAUCUGCUAGCUCAGUUGGUAGAGCACGAGACUCUUCAUCUCGUGGUCGUGGGUUCGGGCCUCAUGUUGGUCG